UGAUUGCGACCGCUUUCUCUUAUCAAACAUUUCAUCUCCCAAGGUGACGGAAAUCUGCUCCCUAUUUCGAAUGAGGUGAUAACCAGGUGACACGUUUAUCACUUCCUGGGCAUCAAGGUAGAAGGAAAGCCUUGGGGUGGCGGUGGUGGGGAAAUCACUGAGUAGCCUGGAUCUCUUUAAAAAGCUGGCCAUGGAGACAGAGAGGAAGAUGGAGGCAUAGGAGGACGCUGGGCUCACCGCGAGUCCUGCUGAUCACUUAGAUUCCACCUACACCUGCCUAAAUAACCCAGAAAACUGCCAGAGGAUUAGCAGAACAGAGUCUCCGGAGCCAAGCGCAGAUGAGAGGCCCACGGAAGAGGAUCUCCUUGAGCAAACGGAGACCUUCCACAGUACUGCAUUCACCUCUGAACUGCUCCAAGGGUCAGAGUGCAGCUCCCUGGGUACUAAUUUUGUUGGAAUUGUGUUUCUCUCUCUGAAAAGUAAAAGGUAUGGUUGAUCCAGGAUGAUUCUCCUUGACUCUUUUUUCCCUUGUCAACCUACUCAGAUUACUC